rnacentral:lncRNA from 1 species
AAUAACACAGGCCAUAUUUUUCUUCAGGGUCAAGGCAUUCUUUGACAUGAAGGUCAUUUAUUCAUUCACUUUUAUGUUUAUUUAAGAAGUCAAUAUGAAAUGCCUACUAUGAAGUUACCGUGGAGAGUUAAAGACACAGAGGAGGGUGGGCAGCGGCAGCCAAAAUGAUGGGGACAAGGCCUUGAGAGGUUUCCAGUAUUAUGGGGAAGGGCACUGUGCAUAUACAUAAUCAUAAUUUGUAGUGACAAGUGUGAUCAAAAAGCCUUGGACAAUGUGGUAUGGAAGGACUCGCGUAGCCUGAGAGGAAGGGAGGAUUUACUGAAGAUGCAUGGGCCUUGGAUAGGUCACUGGUAUAGGAUAUCUAGCUGUUCUAGGCUUUAAACUUUCUUGAUUAGACAAAUAAAACCAAUCCAUUUUCAUACUACAGUUGUGAAUGGCCCUGUAAGCAAGUCAGGGGUAGGAUUGAGCAGCUGAGGCUUGAAAUGCAAAAGCAGGAAACAGGAGGUGGUGUGGGGCUUUCAUGGUCAAAGGUGCCCUGAGUUUUGGUCUCUGGUGGUCUAGGUUAAUCAGGUGGUAUAAAGGGGAGUCCGUUUGUCAAACUGUACCCAUUGCCCUUCAGAAGUGGGCAGUUUACCUAACAAACCAUCAUGUACAUCCAGGACUUCCUCUUCUUUUUUUUUAUUUUUUAUUUUAUUUUAUUUUAUUUUUUUAGGACUUCCUCUUCUUGUUAUGCUUCUUAGAGGUAUAAAAUGUGGACGUUCCCACCUCAGUGGUUACUGCUACGUGUGUGUGCACGUGUGUGUGUGUAUGUGUGUGUGUUACAAUUCUAUCUAGACCUUAGCCAGGAGCUUGGAGAGUUUAGAAGGGAGCACCAAGCAGGGGAAAAUGAAAAACAAGAUGGAAAAGUUCAUUUGAAAAGGAAAGGGAGAAAAGGGCCAGCUCUCUAGUGUAGAGCAGAUUCUGUUUCCUUGAUCCUCCAUGCUUACUUCUUCCCCAGAUUUGUAUUGCUUGGUCCUGAUGACUUAUGGAACCCACCUUCCUGGAGUGUCAUUGGUCAAAGUACUAUACAUUGGCAGAGAACAAAACUGAAAGGCAGCUGGAGUGAAACCAGAUUAUGCCUAUGAAAUGGUAGCUUGGGACAAAAUUCUAUGUUUGGUUUUCUGACAUUUUGCUCUGAUGAUCCUGAAUAAUAGAUAAUAGACGGUAUAGACAGAAUUUGACCAAAAAAAAAAAAAAAAAAAA